rnacentral:rRNA from 1 species
UCUAAGUAUAACCUGCCAGACAGGGAAACUGCGUACGGCUCAUUACACCAGCCUUAAUUUACUUGACCUUGACAACCUACUUGGAUAACUGUGGUAAUUCUAGAGCUAACACAUGCACCAAAGCUCCGAUCCUCGCGGAGAGGAGCGCAUUUGUUCGCCACAAAACCAAGCCCCCAUCUGGGCGUCCAGUGCUGAACCAGAACAACUCAGCUGAUCGCACGGUCUUGUACCGGCGACGUGUCUUUCAAGUGUCUGCCUUAUCAACUUUCGAUGGUAGUGUACCUGACUACCAUGGUUGUGACGGGUAACGGAGGAUAAGGGUUCGACUCCGGAGAAGGGGCCUGAGAAAUGGCCACUACGUCUAAGGAUGGCAGCAGGCGCGCAAAUUACCCACUCUCAACGCGAGGAGGUAGUGACGAGAAAUAACGAGACCGUUCUCAUACGAGGCCGGUUAUUGGAAUGGGUACAAUUUAAA